UACAGAGGUCUCAAGCGUUGUUCGGAUUCAUUGGGCGUAAAGGGUGCGUAGGCGGUGUCGCAAGUCAGGUGUGAAAUCUCGGGGCUUAACCCUGAAACUGCAUUUGAUACUGCGGUGCUCGAGGACUGGAGAGGAGACUGGAAUUCACGGUGUAGCAGUGAAAUGCGUAGAUAUCGUGAGGAAGGCCAGUGGCGAAGGCGAGUCUCUGGACAGUUCCUGACGCUGAGGCACGAAGGCCAGGGGAGCAAACGGG
rnacentral:rRNA from 1 species